ACGCUCGACACCUACGGGGGCAGCAGUCGGGAAUAUUGCGCAAUGGAGGAAACUCUGACGCAGUGACGCCGCGUAUGGGAAGAAGGUUUUCGGAUUGUAAACCAUUUUAGACAGGGAAGAAAAAAAGACAGUACCUGUAAAAUAAGCUCCGGCUAACUACGUGCCAGCACGCCGGACGGUAAUCUGAGGCGGGCUGGACAAGGC
rnacentral:rRNA from 1 species